GGAGGAGCGCCCGCGCCCGCGCGACUGCGGCCGCCCGGCCCGGCUCACCCCGCCGCCGCCAUGGCGGGCGCCGCGCAGCCGCCUCCGCUUCCCGGUCUGCCCGGCUCCGCGCCGGCGGCCGCAAGCUGUUCCGGUUCAGGGGGCGCGGCCGCUCGGGAUGCGGGGACGCGGGGACUCGGGGACGCGGGGCGGACGCGGGCGGCGGGAACGCGGACAGCCGUGGACGGCGGGAACGCUAGCAGCGGGGAGGAGCAGCGCCGGGCUUGGGCGUGGGCGGCCGCUGGGACUCUGGGCCCGGCCCUCCCGGCCCGCCCUGCGCGCCGUUUCUCGCCCCGCCCCCCGCGCCCUCAGCGCCCCGCCCCCCGGCACCGCCCCGCCCUCUGCCCUGGAAGCGGAUGCGCUACGGAGGAGGGGGCCCUCCCGCGGGCGCGGGCAGCGCGGCGGCGUCGCGAGGGACCGGUGCGAGGAAGAGAGGUGGCCAGGGCAGGCGUGCUGAGGGGAGACGCGGGGACAGAAUGCUUUGAACAGGAGAAACCUGGCGCAACCCAUUUUCCAUAUGAGGAAACUGAGGUACAGAGACACGAAGUGUUAGUGACGGACGCAGGUACUAACUGGGAAGAAAAGUAAGGGAACUAAUACCCAGCAUCAGCAAUGUGUGUACAUCUUGCCAAAGGCAGUGUAAACGUGAUUUUGUCUAAUUCUGGACGACUUUAACCUUUUUUUAACUUGUGCUCCCCCCCGGUCUCUCAGUAAUGUUGAUUACAUUUAUUAGUCCGUGUUUUUAAAAGUUCCAUGCUCUGAACUGUAUUAUUGCCAUUUGUUGGGUUAAGUGGUGGGUGUCCUUGUCCUGAGUUGGCCUGCUGGUCCCCUCUGCAACCAUGACUGUACUGUAAUGGAGAUUGAUGGGCGGCCAAAGGUAAGACAGUUUACAUCCCACCCCCUUACCUGUGAGGUCGAUUCUGGUAUCAUCACUCUUUCCUUUUUGUAUGUGCCGGAAUGGCCUCCCCCUCCUCAGAAGAGAUUUGCUGAAUAAACUGGGAGCUAGUACUCUGAGAACAGGGUGCGGUCCCAGAAGGAACAGAGAUUGCAUCUGUUAGUAGCCCCAGAUGACCCGCCUUUUGGUCAUAAAAAUAGUCCCCAAGAAAUUAGGCAACAGGUAGAUCGUGUGGUUUGGGACAUAUUGGUACCAGGAAAGGCAAAGUAUGCUCCCCCAAUAGAAAUAGAGGAAAAGCCUGGGGGAAAAUACCCUUGGCAGAGGCACUAUCCUUUAAAGCCUGAGGUCUUGAGGCAGGGGAAGGGGUGGGGAUGGGGGCCAACUGCUGCUCACCAAAUUCCUAGAACCUGGGCUCAUUCGGCCCUGCUAGUCCACUUCUCUAAUUCUCCCCAUCCAAAAGCCUCCCGGGGAUAUGGUGAUACUGGUUGGUGCAAGACUUACAAGCAGUGCAUGAGGCAGUCAUCCAUCCCAUUCACCCAAUGGUGCCAAACCUGUACACCGUACUCAAAUGCCAGGGGGUGCUCAACACUUCUCUGUGUUAGACCUCAAGGAUGUAUUUUUCUGUAUCCCCCUACAUCCAGACUCCCAGUACCUUUUUGCCUUUGAAUGGAAGGAACUUGACACCCGGGAAGCUAUUCACUACACUUGGACAGUGCUUCCACAGGGCCUUCGGGACAGCUGCUGUCUUUUUGGAAAUGCGAUAGGAAAAGAACUGAGGGAACUGAGCCUGAAAAAUGGAACUCUGUUACAGUAUGUUGAUGACCUAUUAAUAAGGUCCUAAGGUCCUUUACCUAAAAAAGGUGAAGCCAAGAUUCAGAUCAGAAUACUGUUAAGGUCCUAAAUUUCCUGGCAGAAAGGGGAUAUAAAGUCUCCCCAACAAAGACUCAGAUUUCACAGCAAGAGGUUCAAUAUUUAGGGUUUGUUUUGACCCCCAUCGCAUGAGCCCUGGCCAUAAAUCAGAAAACAGCCAUUAAUGUAUUACCAUUGCCAACCACAAAGAGCUCGGAGGCUUUCUCAGAAUGGCUGGGUUCUGCCGUAUCUGAAUUCCAGAUUAUGGCCUUAUAAUCAAAGCCCUACAGGAAGCUCUAAAGGGAGAAGAAAGGGAACCCCUCUAAUGGAGUAGGGACCACCAGUGGGACUUUGAGACCCUAAAGAUUGAGUUGAGUAGGGCACCAGCACUAGGGCUUCCAAAUUUAGACAAACCCUUCACCCUAUCGAUGAGAGGUCAGGGAUAGCACUAGGAGUCCUGACCCAAAAGCUGGGAGCAGAUCAAAGGCCAGUGGUUUACUUUUCAAAACAACUGGACUCAGCCCCAAGAUGCCCCAGCUGCCUACAGGUGGUAGCAGCCACGGCCCUACUGGUCAGUGAGCCUUCUGAGCUCACCGUGGGACAACACCUAGAUGCAUCAACUCUUCAUCAGGUGCAAUCUGUGUUAGAAGCCAAAGGACACCAUUGGUUAACCAGGGGAAAGUUAGCAAAAUAUCAGGCUCUCCUAAUGGAUACCCCUGAUAUUACUUUAAAGGUGUGCCAAGCCUUAAACCCAGCAACUCUUCUCACAGCUGUCGAAAAUGGAGAUUUAUUGCAUCAGUGUACAGAGACAAUAGAACAAACUUAUUCCAGCAGAUCCAGUCUUCUAGAUGAACCCCUUGACAACCCUGAGGCUGAACGGUUCACUGAUGGGAGUAGUUUUAUAGAGAUGGGAACCCGAAUGGCAGGAUGCUAUAGUUAGCUUAAAUGAAAUCAUAGAAGCCAAGGCCCCACCACCCCAGACUUCAGCCCAGAAAAAUAUUUUUACUGAUUCUAAAUAUGGAUUCCAUGUACUACACGCUCAUGCUGCCAUUUGGAGAGAGAGAGAGGAAUGUUAACUGCUAGAAAUUCUUCCAUAAAACCUAAAGAUUUAAUCUUGGCUCUUUUAGAAGCAGUGCAGCUCCCAACCCAGGUGGCAGUAAUUCACUGUAAGGGCCAUCAGAAGGACGGGUCCUUUAUAAGCCAAGGAAAUAACAAAGCUGAUCAGGCCACAAAACAGGCAGUUCAGUUGCAAGAGCCUGACCAAAUCAUGGCCGCAAGAGCCUGACCAAAUCACGGCCCUAAUGAUUGGCCCCCCUGAACUCCCUGGCCUGCCCCAGUAUUCCCCACAGGAACAAGAGAAUGCUGAAAAAUGGGGCUAUAAGAAAGAAAGCACAGGCUGGUAUAUAAAGGAUGACAAGUUUCUUAUCCCUGGGGCCCAAGAAAGGAGGCUCAUCAAGGGUUUACAUGGUGCCACCUACUGUGGGAGGAAUACACUAUGGGACUUGAUACAAAGGACCUUUUCAGGAAAGGGGCUUAAAGGAACAAUAAAAUGAGUGACCCUUGCCUGUGAUUUGUGUGCCCAUAAUAAUCCGCAGGCCCAUCCAAUCCCUCCUUCAUUACUCAAGCCACUUCAACCCCGUGGGACAUACCUGGGGGAAGACUGACAAUUAAACUUCACCCAAAUGCCCCCACAGUCAGGAUAUAAAUAUAUUCCUGUGUCUGUCAGUACUUUUAUAGGAUGGGUGGAAGCCUUCCCCACUCAAUCUGAAAAGACCACUGAAGUCUGUAAGUCCCUCUUAAAUAAGAAACGAUUCCUCGGUUUGGGCUUCUAAAAUCCCUCCAGAGCAAUAAUCGGCCCUCCCUCAUAGCGAACAUCACCCAAGGCCUAUCAGCCGCCUUGGAAUUAGCUACAAUCUGCACACCUCUUGGCACCUCCAGUCUUCAGGAAAAGUAGACAAAAUGAACCAUACUUUAAAGAAAACCUUAACAAAACUUUGCCAAGAGAUUCAUGAGCCUUGGACCAACCUGCUUCUUAUUGCACUCCUCAGGGUUCACAUAGCCCCCAGGAGUCUCCUGAAGCUUAGACCAUUUGAAGUGACCUAUGAGACGCCCUUCCUUACCACUGGUAUGAGGAAGUGAGCCAGAGGCUACAGUGUGUUAUUAACCUGGGACAGGUUCAAAAGGCAAUCUUGGACUAAGCCAAGAAGGCACUGCCAGGUCCCACUAGGGGUAAAACAGAAGGGGCAGCCCCUCCACAAAUUAACUUCAGGGUCCAGGUUCUUCUUAAAACUUGGAAGGAGGGAUCCCCUGGAGAUCAACUAUUACCAAAAUGAAAGGGCCCCUGUAGAGUAAUUUUAGCCACCCCCACUGCCAUUAAACUACAAGGAAUACCUAGUUAGGUACAUUUAUCUAGAUUAAAACUCUUGCCUCCCAAAACCCCACAGGCCACAACAGAAGAACACACCUGUGAGCCAGUAGAAGACCUGCGAUACUUACUCAAAAACUGAGCACCACUAACAGAUGAGUAAAGGGGGAUGUGGUAGGCUGGACUUCUAUUUGCUUACUUUGUUAUAGUUUUGCUCACAUCUUACCGGUUUGCUCAACCACCCCCAGUGAAAAAGCAACUCUUUUGUCCCUCCUG
rnacentral:lncRNA from 1 species